rnacentral:rRNA from 1 species
ACUCAAAGGAAUUGACGGGGGCCCGCACAAGCAGUGGAGUAUGUGGUUUAAUUCGAAGCAACGCGAAGAACCUUACCAGGGCUUGACAUAUAGGGGAAUAUGCAAGAGAUUGCAUAGUCUUUCGGGACUCCUAUACAGGUGGUGCAUGGUUGUCGUCAGCUCGUGUCGUGAGAUGUUGGGUUAAGUCCCGCAACGAGCGCAACCCCUGUGAUUAGUUGCCAGCACGUAAUGGUGGGAACUCUAAUCAGACUGCCGUUGAUAAAACGGAGGAAGGUGGGGAUGACGUCAAAUCAUCAUGCCCUUUAUGUCCUGGGCUACACACGUACUACAAUGGCUACAACAGAGGGUCGCGAGGUAGUGAUACCAAGCCAAACCCAAAAAGUAGUCUCAGUUCGGAUUGAAGGCUGAAAUUCGCCUUCAUGAAGCCGGAAUUGCUAGUAAUGGCAGGUCAGCAUACUGCCGUGAAUACGUUCCCGGGCCUUGUACACACCGCCCGU